CCUGAGCCGAAGUCGGACACCUAAUCGACUGAGCCACCCAGGUUUUGAAUGAGCAAUAUCAAACAAAUAGGCCUAGAAGUGAGCAGGAAAAUCCUUCAUCUCAGAGAAGAAGGGACCAAUAAGAAAAGAGUCUCUGGAUUUGAGACCAUGCACCGCCCGCACAACUCCUCCAUUUUGUUGUUGAAGAACUACAGACCUAGCAAGUGAUCUAAUGAGGAAGAGCUAGGUCACAGAAGAGUGGGAUGGGCUCAUGUUCAAGAGUGAAGAGACAACAGAGACCUUGUCAGGUGAAAUUACUGGAAUGGAAUGGUAUCACCAUAGUAACCAAGUUGGGGCUUUUCGGGCAUUUUGGGGCUGAGGACUUCUGAGGAGUCCAACUUUCCUGCUUAUCCCCAAGAUGUUCCCAAUGCCAGGUUGCCAGUGACACUUGGUCUCUCUUCUCCCUGCCCCCACUCUCCAGUCCUCAAUAAUCACAAAAAUAAAGUUUUAGCCAUGUUUGUUCAUUGCA